UCAAGCGAACAAGGGCGCAGGGCGAAUGCCUUGGCACUGGGAGCCGAUGAAAGACGUGAUAAGCUGCGAUAAGCUUCGGGGAGCUGCAAAUAAGCAUUGAUCCGGAGAUCUCUGAAUGAGGAAACUCACCUGGGUCCAUACUCAGGUACAAUGCACUGAAAUUCAAAAUAGGUGUAUUGAGGGAACCGCCUGAACUGAAACAUCUAAGUAGGGCGAGGAAGAGACAUCAAACGAGAUUCCGUAAGUAGUGGCGAGCGAACGCGGAAGAGGGCAAACCGAGAGUAGAAAUACUUUCGGGGUACGGACUGCUUUUAAGACUCAAUCUGUUAACCGAACGGCAUGGGAAGGCCGGUCAGAGAGUGUGAGAACCACGUAGGUGAAAACGGAGAGAGCUGCGCAGGAUCCAGAGUACGGCCAGACACGUGAAACCUGGUCGGAAUACGGGGGGACCACCCUCCAACCCUAAAUACUACCCAGUGACCGAUAGCGUAUAGUACUGUGAAGGAAAGGUGAAAAGCACCCCGGGAGGGGAGUGAAAAAGAACCUGAAACCCUGUGCCUACAAGCACCUAGAGCGCGUCAAUGCGUGAUAGGGUACUUUUUGUAGAACGGUCCGGCGAGCGAUUGUAUGCAGCAAGGUUAAGGANNNNNNNNNNACGUCAAAGUGUGAUAGGGUACUUUUUGUAGAACGGUCCGGCGAGCGAUUGUAUGCAGCAAGGUUAAGGACUUAAGGUCUGGAGCCGAAGCGAAAGCGAGUUUGAAAAGGGCGUUAAGUUGCAUAUAAUGGGCCCGAAACCGGGUGACCUACCCAUGGUCAGGUUGAAGUGGAAGUAAAAUUCCAUGGAGGACCGAACCGACCUCCGUUGAAAAGGCGGCGGAUGAACUGUGGGUAGCGGAGAAAUUCCAAUCGAACCCGGAGAUAGCUGGUUCUCCCCGAAAUAGUUUUAGGACUAGCCUCAAGUUAGAUACCUGGAGGUAAAGCACUGAAUAGCCUAGCGGCCGAGAGGUUAGCGAAGCUUAUCAAACUCAGAAUGCCAGAGUAUUGAUGCUUGGGAGUCAGACAGUGUCAGAUAAAUGUCAUUGUCAAAAGGGAAACAGCCCAGAUCUACAGCUAAGGUCCCAAAGUCAGGUUAAGUGGAAAACGAUGUGAAGAUACGCAGACAACCAGGAUGUUGGCUCAGAAGCAGCCACUCAUUCAAAGAGUGCGUAAUAGCUCACUGGUCGAGCGUCUUUGCGCGGAGAAUUUAACGGGGCUAAACCUGACACCGAAGCUUAGGCAAUACAGUAAUGUAUUGGGUAGGGGAGCGUUGUAUACGCGGAGAAACAGUAGCGCAAGCGGCUGUGGAGUGUANNNNNNNNNNCAAUGUAUUGGGUAGGGGAGCGUUGUAUACGCGGAGAAACAGUAGCGUAAGCGGCUGUGGAGUGUAUAGAAGUGAGAAUGCCGGAAUGAGUAGCGCGAAUGCAGUGAGAAUCUGCAUGGCCGAAAGCCUCAGGUUUCUGGAGGAAGGUUCGUCCGCUCCAGGUUAGUCGGGAGCUAAGGUGAGGCCGGAAGGCGUAGCCGAUGCACAGACGGUAGAGAUUCCGUCACCACCAAAAGAGUUAAGCACAGGGACACAUAUGAAGUCUCAGAGCCGGGUGUUGGUUCCGGUAGAGAUCGAGGGAAAUUAGUACCGAAGUCUGAGAUGGAAGAUGGCGAGAAAAGCUGUGUGUAUUUCUGAGGUGCCCGUACCGCAAACCGACACAGGUAGGUAGGAAGAAGAUUCUAAGGCCAACGGGAGAAGGGUUGUUAAGGAACUCGGCAAAUUGACCCCGUAACUUCGGGAGAAGGGGUGCUCCAGAGAUGGAGCCGCAGAGAAUCGGCCCAAGCAACUGUUUACCAAAAACACAGGUUUGUGCUAAAUCGAAAGAUGACGUAUACGAGCUGACGCCUGCCCGGUGCUGGAAGGUUAAGAGGAGAUGUGCAAGCAUUGAAUCGAAGCCCCAGUGAACGGCGGCCGUAACUAUAACGGUCCUAAGGUAGCGAAAUUCCUUGUCAGGUAAGUUCUGACCCGCAUGAAAGGCGUAAUGAUUUGGGCACUGUCUCAACAGCCCGCCCGGCGAAAUUGUAGUACCGGUGAAGAUGCCGGUUACCCGCGACAAGACGGAAAGACCCCAUGGAGCUUUACUGUAGCCUAAUAUUGGGUUUCGAUGUUGCAUGCACAGGAUAGAUGGGACUCUUGGAAACCAAGGCUUUGGCUUUGGCGGAGAGGCCGUUGGGAUACCAUCCUUGCGAUAUUGGAAUUCUAACCUGCGGCUCUGAAUCGAGUCGGGGGACAUUGUUAGGUGGGCAGUUUGACUGGGGCGGUCGCCUCCUAAAGAGUAACGGAGGCGUUCAAAGGUUCGCUCAGCUUGAACGGAAAUCAAGCAAAAGAGUGCAAACGCAGAAGCGAGCCUAACUGCGAGACUGACGGGUCGAGCAGUAACGAAAGUUGGAGUUAGUGAUCCGGUGGUAUGUGAGUGGAAAUGCCAUCGCUCAACGGAUAAAAGUUACCCUGGGGAUAACAGGCUGAUCUCCCCCAAGAGUCCACAUCGACGGGGAGGUUUGGCACCUCGAUGUCGGCUCAUCGCAUCCUGGGGCUGUAUUCGGUCCCAAGGGUUUGGCUGUUCGCCAAUUAAAGCGGUACGCGAGCUGGGUUCAGAACGUCGUGAGACAGUUCGGUCCCUAUCUGUCGUGGGCGCAGGAUAUUUGAUGGGAGCUGUCCCUAGUACGAGAGGACCGGGACGGACGUACCUCUGGCGCACCAGUUGUUCCGCCAGGAGCAUAGCUGGGCAACUACGUACGGAUCGGAUAAACGCUGAAAGCAUCUAAGCGUGAAGCCGACCCAAAGAUAAGAUAUCCCACUGAUUCAAUCAGGUAAGAUCCCUUGUAGACUACGAGGUUGAUAGGCACGAUGUGUAAGUGGAGUGAUCCAUUCAGCAAGUGUGUACUAAUAGAUCGAGGGCUUGACCAC
rnacentral:rRNA from 1 species